rnacentral:rRNA from 1 species
GACGAACGCUGGCGGCGUGCCUAAUACAUGCAAGUAGAACGGAGUUGCGAACGGGUGAGUAAAGCGUAGGUAACUUGCUCGUAGCGGGGGAUAACUAUUGGAAACGAUAGCUAAUACCGCAUACUGUGAGCUGGACCUGCGUGGGAGUAGCUUGUUGUGGGGGUAAAGGCUCACCAAGGCGACGAUCCCUAGCCGAUCUGUGAGGUUGAUCGGCCACACUGGGACUGAGACACGGUCCAGACUCCUACGGGAGGCAGCAGUAGGGAAUCUUGGGCAAUGGGCGGAAGUCUGAUGGAGCCACGCCGCGUGUGUGAAGAAGGCCUUCGGAUUGUAAAACUCUUUCGGCAGGGAAGCGGUAUCUAACGAAGAAGCACCGGCUAACUACGUGCCAGCAGCCGCGGUAAUUC